UACAUUUAAUUAAUAAUUUCUGUACCUGGACACCUACAAACUUUAACAUUGUGUAAAUAGCACAAAUAAAAUAGAACAAACAUACAAAUUAAAAAAUUUCAAACAGUUCACUUUUUUUCUUUUAGAUGUCCAUGUCCAUUUUACACUAAGCAAUCAGUAGCGACUGAAUUCAGUUGUGAAUAUUAAAUAUUUUAACUAGAGUGGUGUUAGGUAUGAUAUCAGUCUGCAUUGCUCAUGGUGGGGUGGGACCCUUUGUGUUGGCCAGAAGGCUGUAUUGACAGCUCUCAGGGAUCCCUGCUCCACCUGUGAACAUAAUAGAGGUUUAUGACACUGAACUGCAUGACCAGCUGGACAAGGUAAGAUGUAGAUUUGACAGUUAUACUGUUUUUGGUCUUUAAGAUGUCAAAAGUUGAAUCUGUAAUGUAAUUAACACCUUAAACUCGAGGGCAAAAUUGCCUCUUUGUAUGAGACAGGGGUAGCUGCAGCCUGGAGCAAUGGGCGCGCCGAAAGGUAGGGGUGUGCCAAAAGGUUUCUCAUUGGUGAAAGUAGUUUUACUGUGCUGGCCAAUCAGCAGUAAACAUUUAUGUAAUUUCCUUAGACAAGGUGGCGGCGAUAAGACGUGAGGUAAUUAUUCAUCGUUUAUACGUUUAUCUAUACUUUAUAUACCACAAAUAUGUAUAUUAAGAUAAGUUUGUUACAAUACGAUCAUAAUUUUUACUUUGCAUUAUAUCUUGCAGCUUUAGUAAAUAGUUUAUUGUUGUUGACAGACAUAUGUACAGUGAGACAAAACAAUGACCGCAUCGACGGCGAAUCCUUCAGAGAUGAUUGUUUAUAUCUGCGUCCUUUUUGUACAAGAGAGUACAGAAUACAUCCUGUGUCGAACUAAUGCAGAGUAUAUUCAAGCUGCCAACACACUGAUGUGAAGAACGCUUUCCAGAGAAAUAUAGAAAGAAACGACUGUGUAUAGUUGACUGGAAGUCUGUCAGUCCAGAUGUGAGGAAGACACACAGAGUGGAGCUGGAGCUCAGCAGAUGUGAUGGAUGUAGAUACUGUGGUCUUCACAGCUUUCUAUUCAGACAAACAGUUUGCUGGAUUCUUAUCUAUGGACUGCUACUACAGAAUGAAUGAAUGAAUGAGUGGUUUAUCUAUCUAUCUAUCUAUCUAUCUAUCUAUCUAUCUUUUUACUUGAA